rnacentral:rRNA from 1 species
UACAGACAGUGCAAGUGUUAUUCAUUUUUAUUGGGCGUAAAGGGUAUGUAGGCAGUUUUUAUAAACUGGGUUUGAAAUGCUGGAAUAAAAAAAUUUAGAAGGAAACCCAAAGAUUAAAAAAACAACGAGUUAAAAUAAGGUUAAUCAGAAGAAUUUCUCAACUCUGGGGUAAAAUCCUAAUCUGAGAAGGACUACCAAAGGCGAAGGCAUCUUUCCAAUUUUAACUGACGCUGAGGUACGGAAGCCUAGGUAAUCAACCGG